rnacentral:rRNA from 1 species
GACGAAGGAUGCAAGCGUUAUCCGGGUUCAUUGGGUUUAAAGGGAGCGUAGGUGGCCUUAUAAGUCAGUGGUGAAAUCUUCGAGCUUAACUCGGAAAUUGCCAUUGAUACUGUAGGGCUUGAGUAUAGUUGCCGUUGGCGGAAUAUGACAUGUAGUGGUGAAAUACAUAGAGAUGUCAUAGAACACCGAUUGCGAAGGCAGCUGACGAAACUAUAACUGACACUGAGGCUCGAAAGUGCGGGGAUCAAACAGG